CUCGUAGGCGGUUCGUCGCGUCCGGUGUGAAAGUCCAUCGCCUAACGGUGGAUCUGCGCCGGGUACGGGCGGGCUGGAGUGCGGUAGGGGAGACUGGAAUUCCCGGUGUAACGGUGGAAUGUGUAGAUAUCGGGAAGAACACCAAUGGCGAAGGCAGGUCUCUGGGCCGUUACUGACGCUGAGGAGCGAAAGCGUGAGGAGCGAACA
rnacentral:rRNA from 1 species